UGGCGGACGGGUGAGUAACGCGUGGGUAACCUGCCUUGCACUGGGGGAUAACACUUAGAAAUAGGUGCUAAUACCGCAUAAGCGCACGGUCCUGCAUGGGACAGUGUGAAAAACUCCGGUGGUGCAAGAUGGACCCGCGUCUGAUUAGCUGGUUGGCGGGGUAAGGGCCACCAAGGCGACGAUCAGUAGCCGGCCUGAGAGGGUGGACGGCCACAUUGGGACUGAGACACGGCCCAAACUCCUACGGGAGGCAGCAG
rnacentral:rRNA from 1 species